rnacentral:tRNA from 1 species
GCCCAUGUAGCUCAGUCGGCAGAGCGCGUCCUUGGUAAGGACGAGGUCGGCGGUUCAAAUCCGCUCGUGGGCUCCA